rfam:Dipodomys ordii contig_5921, whole genome shotgun sequence.
AUAUCAUACAAGAGUACAUAAUACUUUGGAACUGACCUAAAAUAAAGAGAAUAUUCAUUGCUGAUCACUU